AAAGUGAUCUCACCUGCAUUCUUCCAGAAGGUGGAGCUCUAAGAAUCAAUUGUAGUUCAGUCUCAGUUCAGAUUAAAAACAGAGCAGACAGACUUAUAUUGAGUCACUUAUACUCUAGGAGGAAACUGUAAGUCUUGGAUCUCAAAGUCAUUGUCUCUUAUUAGUGCAGAUGUUGCUCCUGGUAUUCAUUAUAUUUUCUCUUCUAAAAGAGAAUGCUGCUGCAGACGUGAUAACACCAUUCUUCACAGAUAUGCAGGUUUUGGAAGGAAAAGAUGUUACACUGAUCUGCAACUACACUGAAAGUGUUCGAAAUUUGCAGUGGUACCGUCAGUAUCCCGGAUCCAAACCUGAGAACAUAAUUUUGUUCUUUGAAGCCAGCCCUAAAUCAGAGCCCUCUCUCCGUCUGACCGCUGUAGCUGAUAAAGUCAUCAAACAUAUGAAUCUGACAAUCUCUUCUACAGAAGUCAAAGACUCUGCCAUGUACUAUUGUGCCCUGGAGCCCACAGUGACAGGAAACACAACUGCACCCUACAAAAACUGAGUGAGAAAUUAUAUUUAAGGCAGAAGAUCAUGAUGCACA